GGACUACCGGGGUUUCUAAUCCUGUUUGCUCCCCACGCUUUCGCGUCUCAGCGUCAAGAAUGGCCCAGAAGGCCGCCUUCGCCACCGGUAUUCCUCCUAAUAUCUACGAAUUUCACCUCUACACUAGGAAUUCCACCUUCCUCUACCAUCUUCCAGCUAUUCAGUUUCGAAUGCACUUCCUCGGUUGAGCCCAGGGAUUUCACACUCGACUUAAAUAACCGCCUACACGCGCUUUACGCCCAAUGAUUCCGAACAACGCUAGCACCCUACGUAUUACCGCGGCUGCUGGCAC
rnacentral:rRNA from 1 species